rnacentral:rRNA from 1 species
ACCUGGUUGAUCCUGGCAGUAGUACACGCUUGUCUCAAAGACUAAGCCAUGCAUGUCUGAGUUUAAUUAUUGAAACUGCGAAUGGCUCAUUUAAACAGUUAUAGUUUACAUGAUACUGAGUUUUAAAUGGAUAGCCGUGGUAAACCAGAGCUAAUACAUGCACUUACGUCCGACUUCUUGGAAGGACAGUAUUUAUUAGAUUUAAUCAUUGCUUCGUGCUAUUGGUGACUCACAAUAACGAUUUCGAAUCGUUGGCAUGCCGACGAUAAAUCAUCCAAGUUUCUGCCCCCUCAGCUAGAUGGUAGUGUAUUGGACUACCAUGGGUUUUACGGGAACGGGGGAUAGAGUUCGACACCGGAGAGGGAGCCUGAGAAACGGCUACCACUUCUACGGAAGGCAGCAGGCGCGUAAAUUACCCAAUCCUAAUUCAGGGAGGUAGUGACAAGAAAUAAUAGACCGGGUUUUACCCGGGUUUGGAAUGGGCCUAAUUUACACUAAUUUGCUAGGAACCAUGGAGGGGCAAGUCUGGUGCCAGCAGCCGCGGUAAUUCAGCUCCAUAGCCGUGUUUUUAAGAUGUUGCAGUUAAAGGCCACGUAGUUGGACUUCUGAAGGCCGAGGUCGGGUAAGGCCCACCCAGACUUCAUCCUUCUGUUAACAGAUCUUGGCCUUCAUUGGCUGGUUCUGGGCUCAGAUUCUUUACCAUGAGGAAAAUAGAGUGUUUCAGGCAGGCUCGCGCCGGAAUACGUUAGCAUGGAAUAUAAUACGACUUCGUCUUUGUUGGUUGAGUACGAAGUAAUGGUUCAUAGGGAGAGUUGGGGGCAUUGUAUUCCAUUGUCAGAGUGAAAUUCUUUGAUCUGUCCAAGACUAACUAAUGCGAAAGCAUGUGCCAAGAAUGUUUUCAUUAAUCAAGAACGAAAGUUAGGGGAUCAAAGACGAUCAGAUACCGUCCUAGUCUUAACCAUAAUCUAAGCCAACUAGGGAUCGGGGGCGGCGCUUCCCCCUUCGCCCCCUUCAGAGAAAUCAAAGUCUUCGGUUCUGGGGGAAGUAUGGUCGCAAGGCUGAAACUUAAA